rnacentral:rRNA from 1 species
CCUACGGGGCGCUGCAGUGAGGAAUAUUGGUCAAUGGGCGGAAUCCUGAACCAGCCAUGCCGCGUGCAGGACGACGGCUCUACGAGUUGUAAACUGCUUUUGUACCGGGGUAAAAUGCCUUACGUGUAGGGUUUUGAAAGUACGGUACGAAUAAGGAUCGGCUAAAUCCGUGCCAGCAGCCGCGGUACUACGGAGGAUACGUGCGUUAUCCGGAUUCAUUGGGUUUAAAGGGUGCGUAGGUUGUUUUAUAAGUUAGCGGUGAAAUACCGAUGCUCAACAUCGGGGCUGCCGUUGAUACUGUAGGACUAGAGAUCGGAUGCAGCAGGCGGAAUGUGUAGUGUAGCGGUGAAAUGCAUAGAUAUUACACAGAACACCGAUUGCGAAGGCAGCUUGCUAGGCCGGAUCUGACACUGAGGCACGAAAGCGUGGGGAUCGAACAGGAUUAGAUACCCCUGUAGUC